rnacentral:rRNA from 1 species
AGAACUUAGCAGAGAUGCUUUGGUGCCUUCGGGAACUCUGAGACAGGUGCUGCAUGGCUGUCGUCAGCUCGUGUUGUGAAAUGUUGGGUUAAGUCCCGCAACGAGCACAACCCUUAUCCUUUGUUGCCAGCGGUCCGGCCGGGAACUCAAAGGAGACUGCCAGUGAUAAACUGGAGGAAGGUGGGGAUGACGUCAAGUCAUCAUGGCCCUUACGAGUAGGGCUACACACGUGCUACAAUGGCGCAUACAAAGAGAAGCGACCUCGCGAGAGCAAGCGGACCUCAUAAAGUGCGUCGUAGUCCGGAUUGGAGUCUGCAACUCGACUCCAUGAAGUCGGAAUCGCUAGUAAUCGUGGAUCAGAAUGCCACGGUGAAUACGUUCCCGGGCCUUGUACACACCGCCCGUCACACCAUGGGAGUGGGUUGCAAAAGAAGUAGGUAGCUUAACCUUCGGGAGGGCGCUUACCACUUUGUGAUUCAUGACUGGGGUGAAGUCGUAACAAGGUAAGCGUAGUGCU